rnacentral:rRNA from 1 species
AAGGAAUAUUGGUCAAUGGACGCAAGUCUGAACCAGCCAUGCCGCGUGAAGGAUGAAGGUCCUCUGGAUUGUAAACUUCUUUUAUCUGGGACGAAAACGGGAUUUUUAUCUCAAUUGACGGUACCAGAGGAAUAAGCACCGGCUAACUCCGUGCCAGCAGCCGCGGUAAUACGGAGGGUGCGAGCGUUAUCCGGAUUUACUGGGUUUAAAGGGUGCGUAGGUGGGCUUAUAAGUCAGUGGUGAAAUCUUCCGGCUUAACCGGGAAACUGCCGCUGAUACUAUUUGUCUUGAAUAUUGCGGAGGUAAGCGGAAUAUGUCAUGUCGCGGUGAAAUGCUUAGAUAUGACAUAGAACACCAAUUGCGAAGGCAGCUUACUACACAAUCAUUGACACUGAGGCACGAAAGCGUGGGUAGCGAACA